rnacentral:rRNA from 1 species
CCUACGGGGAGCAGCAGUGAGGAAUAUUGGUCAAUGGACGCAAGUCUGAACCAGCCAUGCCGCGUGCAGGAAGACGGCUCUAUGAGUUGUAAACUGCUUUUGUACGAGGGUAAACGCAGAUACGCGUAUCUGUCUGAAAGUAUCGUACGAAUAAGGAUCGGCUAACUCCGUGCCAGCAGCCGCGGUAAUACGGAGGAUUCAAGCGUUAUCCGGAUUUAUUGGGUUUAAAGGGUGCGUAGGCGGUCGGAUAAGUUAGAGGUGAAAUCCCGAGGCUCAACUUCGGAAUUGCCUCUGAUACUGUGCGGCUAGAGAGUAGUUGAGGUAGGCGGAAUGUAUGGUGUAGCGGUGAAAUGCUUAGAGAUCAUACAGAACACCGAUUGCGAAGGCAGCUUACCAAGCUACUUCUGACGUUGAGGCACGAAAGCGUGGGGAGCAAACAGGAUUAGAUACCCCGGUAGUC